UACGGGGGGGCAAGCGUUGUUCGGAAUUACUGGGCGUAAAGGGCUCGUAGGCGGCCAACUAAGUCAGACGUGAAAUCCCUCGGCUUAACCGGGGAACUGCAUCUGAUACUGGAUGGCUUGAGUUCGGGAGAGGGAUGCGGAAUUCCAGGUGUAGCGGUGAAAUGCGUAGAUAUCUGGAGGAACACCGGUGGCGAAGGCGGCAUCCUGGACCGACGACUGACGCUGAGGAGCGAAAGCCAGGGGAG
rnacentral:rRNA from 1 species